UACGUAGGGGGCGAGCGUUGUCCGGAUUCAUUGGGCGUAAAGAGCUCGUAGGCGGCUUGGCAAGUCGGGUGUGAAAACUCCAGGCUCAACCUGGAGACGCCACCCGAUACUGCCAUGGCUUGAGUCCGGUAGGGGACCACGGAAUUCCUGGUGUAGCGGUGAAAUGCGCAGAUAUCAGGAGGAACACCGGUGGCGAAGGCGGGUCUCUGGGCCGGUACCGACGCUGAGGAGCGAAAGCGUGGGGAGCGAACAGG
rnacentral:rRNA from 1 species